UCCAAGAAGCUUGUUGCUUCUGGAAAGCUCGUUAAGGUCAAAGGAUCUUUCAAGUUACCGUCGGUUAAGUCUUCUGCUCCAAAGCCAGCGAAGAAGCCUGUUGCAGCUAAGCCCAAACCCAAAGCAAAGCCCGCUGCUAAAUCUAAGCCAGCAGCUGCCAAGUCUAAAGCUGCUCCUGCUAAAGCCAAACCAGCAGCAACUAAGGCUAAGCCUGCUGCCAAGGCAAAGCCUGCAGCUAAGCCCGCAGUAAAACCCAAGCCCGCUGCAAAUGCCAGGCCGCCAGUUGCCAAGGCUAGAGCUGCCCCUGUUGUUAAGGCUAAGCCUGCAGCAAAGGCUAAGCCCGCAGCUAAGCCCAAGGCCAAGCCUGCUGCAAAGCCCAAGGCUGCUGCCGCUGCUAAGGCGAAACCUGCAGCCAAGGCAAAGGCUGUGAAAUCGCCUGCUAAGUCUUCUAGAACCUCGACGAGAACGUCUCCUGGGAGGAGAGCUGCUGCUCCGAAACCGGUGG
rnacentral:lncRNA from 1 species